UUUUUAUGUGGACCUCUGUCCUUGUGCCUCUGGUGCUUGGAUGGAACCACAUAAGCAGGUGAAACUUCUUAGAGGAACUGGCGCCCGAAAAGGCGCACGAGAAAGAGCAAUAACAGGUCUGUGAUGCCCUAAGAUGUCCGGGGCCGCACGCGUGCUACAAUGACGAUGCUACUGAGCAUGAUUAACUUGUCCGAAAGGAUUGGUGAAACUGUUCAAUCAUCGUCGUGACUGGGAUUGGGGUUUGCAAUUGUCCCCCAUGAACCAGGAAUUCCUAGUAAGCACAAGUCAUAAGCUUGUGCUGAUUACGUCCCUGCCCUUUGUACACACCGCCCGUCGCUACUACCGAUUGAAUGGUUUAGCAAGGACAUUGGAUUGAGCCCUUGCGGUUUCGGCUGCUUGGGUUUGAGAAGAUGUCCGAACUUGAUCAUUUAGAGGAAGUAAAAGUCGUAACAAGGUUUCCGUAGGUGAACCUGCGGAAGGAUCAUUA
rnacentral:rRNA from 1 species